UCCCUAAGAUGUAUAAUCUGUGACUCUGACAACAACAUUGUCGACAUAUAUUUCUAACCAAAGAUUUAAGAUAAGUUCUUGUGAUUUUAGGCAAAUUGGCAGUGUUUUUGCUCAGAAACUUACCAUUUCAGCAGCGUUGUGAUCAAUUGAUAACGGUAUUUAUUCUCGUGAAUUGCAUUUUUUAACUUGGUUGAAGCUUGUCAGUUAUUACUUUGUUAAUUAAUCUGUAUUUACACUGGGCUGAAUGGUGAAAUAUUUUCACAUCCCAUUUAUAUGUAUGCACUUCUGAACAGUAAUAGCAAACUGAUUAGAUCUUUGCCAGGGUUCAUGCAUAUUCAGUGUUAUUAGUGCAUUACAAUUUCGUGAAUUUAAAUUACACACUUUUACACAUUAAGUUAGUAGGUAAAUAUCUUGAAAUCAUGUCUGUGAAAAGACUCCCUUCGUGCAUCCCAAUUCCACUUGAUGAAAAGGAACUCAAAGAACUUGUUUCAAAGACCAAAGACUGGGUUGUUAUGCAUGGAAUAGGAAUUAGAUCUAAAACGGCAUUCAGUGAAGAUUCCAUUAAUUUUGCACCAUAUCUGCUGCUGCCCUCAACCUUUCCCAGAAAAGAAUUCGAGAGAGCUGUUGAAAUACAAACCACACUGAAUGAACUGAUGCAUAGAGUGGCCCACAAUCAGGAAUUUUUAAAGGAAACUUUGAAAGACACAAUUCAGGUUGAUGAAUUUACCGGCAGCUUAUACAAGAUAUGGGAAACGGUACUAAACGAAGGAGUUACUCAGGUUUGUGUUGGAAGAGCUGGAACACUUUGACAAACUGCAAAAUUUACCGGAAAACAAUGCUUUAACUGGGAUGACCAUGGGUCUUUUGGAAGCGUGGAAAAUAUAUGGGGAUUCUAAAGCAGCUAUAUUGGUUAUUGUGGAGGAUGUCACUUACAAUAUUUGCGAUCAAAGAUUUCACGAAUUUGAACUUAAGCGUUUAAACCCAAGAGUGAAGUUGAUGAGAAAAACUUUAACGGAUGUACACAUGGAAGGCAGUCUGAGUGAAAAUAAUGAACUGAUGAUAGGGAAUACGGUUGUAAGUGUCGUUUACUACCGAUCGGCUUAUACUCCGGAACAAAUUCCCAC
rnacentral:misc_RNA from 1 species